rnacentral:rRNA from 1 species
CGGGUGAGUAACGCGUGGGUAACCUGCCUCAUACAGGGGGAUAACAGUUAGAAAUGACUGCUAAUACCGCAUAAGCGCACAGGACCGCAUGGUCCGGUGUGGAAAACUCCGGUGGUAUGAGAUGGACCCGCGUCUGAUUAGCUGGUUGGUGAGGUAACGGCCCACCAAGGCGACGAUCAGUAGCCGGCCUGAGAGGGUGAACGGCCACAUUGGGACUGAGACACGGCCCAAACUCCUACGGGAGGCAGCAGUGGGGAAUAUUGCACAAUGGGGGAAACCCUGAUGCAGCGACGCCGCGUGAAGGAAGAAGUAUUUCGGUAUGUAAACUUCUAUCAGCAGGGAAGAAAAUGACGGUACCUGACUAAGAAGCCCCGGCUAACUACGUGCCAGCAGCCGCGGUAAUACGUAGGGGGCAAGCGUUAUCCGGAUUUACUGGGUGUAAAGGGAGCGUAGGCGGUUUAGCAAGUCAGAAGUGAAAGCCCGGGGCUCAACUCCGGGACUGCUUUUGAAACUGUUGAACUAGAUUGCAGGAGAGGUAAGUGGAAUUCCUAGUGUAGCGGUGAAAUGCGUAGAUAUUAGGAGGAACACCAGUGGCGAAGGCGGCUUACUGGACUGUAAAUGACACUGAGGCUCGAAAGCGUGGGGAGCAAACAGGAUUAGAUACCCUGGUAGUCC